CCUACGGGAGGCAGCAGUGAGGAAUCUUGGUCAAUGGACGAGAGUCUGAACGAGCCAAGUAGCGUGAAGGAUGACUGCCCUAUGGGUUGUAAACUUCUUUUAUAAAGGAAUAAAACGACGCACGUGUGCCUUUUUGCAUGUACUUUAUGAAUAAGGAUCGGCUAACUCCGUUCCAGCAGCCGCGGUAAUACAGAGGAUCCGAGUGUUAUCCGGAUUUAUUGGGUUUAAGGGGAGCGUAGAUGGGUUGUUAAGUCAGUUGUGAAAGUGUGCGGCUCAACCGUAAAAUGGCAAUUGAUACUGGGAGUCUUGAGUACAGUAGAGGGAAGCGGAAUUCGUGGUGUAGCGGUGAAAUGCUUAGAUAUCACGAAGAACCCCGGUUGCGAAGGCAGCUUACUAAACUGUAACUGACAUUGAUGCUCGAAAGUGUGGGUAGCAAACAGGAUUAGAUACCCCAGUAGUC
rnacentral:rRNA from 1 species